UACGUAGGGGGCAAGCGUUGUCCGGAAUCAUUGGGCGUAAAGAGCGUGUAGGCGGUCCGAUAAGUCCGCUCUGAAAGCCCGGGGCUCAACCCCGGGAGGCGGGUGGAUACUGUCAAGCUCGAGUCCGGAAGAGGCGAGUGGAAUUCCUGGUGUAGCGGUGAAAUGCGCAGAUAUCAGGAGGAACACCAAUUGCGAAGGCAGCUCGCUGGGACGUUACUGACGCUGAGACGCGAAAGCGUGGGGAGCAAACAGG
rnacentral:rRNA from 1 species